rnacentral:rRNA from 1 species
CAUCGUCAGCUUAUUCNNNNNNNNNNNNNGGUAUGAUGUGAUAAUAGAAUCCUUGUGAUCACUAGAUUAUACUUGCUUGUAUUAUUUUUGCUGGGUAUGUCGGCGUGCACUUCUCCUCUAGUARAACGUCGCAMCCCGUUGGAUGUUUAUCUAUGGUUUGAAUGGUAGCCUUUGAUAUUUUUUAUAUUAAAGACCUUCGAUGUCCUGAUAAACUNUUUGACGGUAUACAUAUGGUAUUGAGUCGCAAUUAUUUGCGUUAGACUUAUCGCAAGUAUGGCUUUAUUCUAGUAGUGCGGAUCUAAUGCCGUCGCUGGACAAAGUCUGCUGUUAGCUGGUAAUGUCUUUAACUGGCUUAUUUACCGGUUAGCGAUGCUACUGCUUUGGGUACUUACAGGACCCGUCUUGAAACACGGACCAAGGAGUCUAACAUGUGCGCGAGUCAUUGGGAUAUAUUUAUAUAACUCAAACCUAAAGGCGUAAUGAAAGUAUAGAUUGUCUUAAGACAAUUGAGGGAAGAUGGGUUACGUUACGAUGUAAUCCCGCAUUCCCAGGACGUUCUAUUCUCAUGAGAAAGGG